UUAUGAACGUGAUUUUCACAUGGAUGCUGCAGAUCUGAACUCAGACCCCCAUGUUUGCAUAGCAAGCCCUCAACCCACUGAACCACCUCUCCAGCCCUUCGGUGCUCUUAAUUUAAACUCUACCAUCGAGCCGUUCUUCCUGCUAUUUGCCUUAGUAAAAGCCAAUUUCACUAUUGCCCCCACUCAAACCAAACCCGAUGAAGCUUUCUUUUCUUACAUAUACACUUUUGAUUUUUAUAUUUUAAAAAAUUAGGUGUAUGUGUUUGUGCAUGGGAGAUGUGGAUAUGUGCAUAUGUGUGCAGAUGCCUACAGAGGCCAGAGGCAUCUGAUCCCCCCAAAGCUGAGACAAUUGAGAGCUGUGGGAGACUCAAUUCCUCUGCAAAAGCAGUAUGUGGUCUUGACCACUGAGCUAUCUCGCCAGCCCCUGUAAGUAUUUUUAUUUUGAUAGCUUCUUCUUCUUUUUUUUUUUUUUAACAGAAUGCAAUGCCCACCAUGCACACUGUUCCUAGUGCUAAAUAAAAGUGUCCAAAGCCUACAAAACUACUACUUGUCACGGAUUCAGAUUUCUAAUUAGGAGACAGAGGACAGCGGAACACCUGGGUCAGCUGCUGACCAGUGUGGUGAGAGAACACCAGCGCAGGGCAGAGGGCAGAGGCUGAAGGAGGAGGGUGGAACACUGCUGCUUCAUUAGGAGACACGUCGUGGAGAAGGUGGACUUUGUCUAAAGAUCUGAAGGCAAAGAUGAGGUGCUACCUGAGGAAGAGUCUUCUAGAACAAGGGGGCCCAGUGUGCAAAGACACUUGGAGUAGAGGCUCUGGUCUUGGCAAACAUGUGUACUCUAUUCAGUCCCUUAGAGAACACCACGGGCUCGUCAUCUGAAAUACAGCGUCCACCCUCAUUGCUUUCUCUCUUCCUCAGACCACACUUCAAUAAUCACUGCCUCAUUACUUUCAUGGUCUAAUUUCUGGACCCCUAUAUCUUGUCCCCCACACACAUACACUUAUACCCUCUUCAGCAUAGAUGCUAUGUGAUUCUAUUAAAACAAGUCUAUUCGUGCUAGGUUUCAAAGUCUCCCAUGGUUUCACAAAUCACGCCACACAAAUGCCUCGCAUCUUGUCCAUUGCCUGCUCAGCCCCCACCCCCACCCCCUGCCUCUAACCCGUCACUCAUAUGCCUAAACUCGCUCACUCAGCCUCGUCUCCAGUCCUUCAGACUCCUCCUGUUCUACAAGCUUCGGAAGUCAGCAUUUAUCUGGCAUUAAGAACAGCGUGUGUGGUAGCUACUCAAUAGCUCCUUGUUGAAAAGGGUACUGCUCUGUCACUGGAAAAAGCCUUGAGCGUAUGAAUACACAUGCUGUGGUAACUGAGCUCUGUGACAUCCCUCAAUGACCCUUGCCUUCUGGCUGCCCUGCCUUGGUGGACUCUCCUCCCACAAUGGAUCAGAGUGAACCUAUUUGACCCAGAGAUUACAUGAUGGUGUGUGACUUCCCAGAUUAGAUUACAAGACAUAGAACAAUCACUACUUUUUCCUCUGAGGGGCGCCAGUUGCCGUGGGAGCACUCAUCUACCCUGAAAGUGAGUUCAGUGGCAAGUGACUGAGACCUCCAUCCAAUAACCAGUACCACCCCCAUCUAGUAACCAAUACCACUUCCCCAUCUAAUAACCAAUAUUACCCACCCAUCCCCAUUUAAUGACCAACACCAUUUGCCAGCCACUGAAAGAGAUUUGCCUGCUUAUAACUAAGUUUUCAUAUGGCCACAACUUUGGUCAACAUCUUGACUAAAACUUCAUGAGUGACUGUCCAAGGCAGAACCAAUCAGCUGAUGUUCUCAUUUCUGGUACACAGGUAACAUUCGAGACUACCCUUACUGUUUAGUGGUACUGCUUUGGGAGAAAUUUAUACCUGGAUUUACUAUAUGGAAAUGCUGUAUCCGAAAUCUAAAAUGUGAGUAGAAUCCUGCAAUCCAACACUGAGUAAGAACCAGGAGGAUAAAGAUGAAGAUGAAGAUAAAGUGAAAACACUAAACGACUUUGAAGUGACAGCCACUGGGGCUAAUGGGACAUGAGGAAAACAUCACUCUGCAUGAGAAGAAAGGAGAACCUUUUUAAGUACUGGUAAGAAAGUUAGCAUGCUGUUGCCUGGGACAAAGUAGAAAUGCUCCUGUUGACAUGGGGACAUCUAUCUGAGGAAAUUCCCAGGCAGGGUAUUAAAGAGUAUGGGUUUAGACUUUCUAUAAAAUACAAUGAGACAAAUAAGCUAAAAGAAGAGCUAUUUUAAUUUUUAAUUUUUUUAAAAUUUAAAGUAAAAAAAAUGCUAUAUUUAAAGGUUCCUAGCCUCUAUGGAUGCCUCGGUGCUAGACUGUGAAAAUGCCUUCUAGGUAAAGAUAACAUCAGAGGCAUCAGAGGAAAGCAUGAUAAGAAGAUAAAGCCUACCUUGUGUUUGUAAAAUCACUUGUUAAGAUCUGGGAAUAUCCAGGCAGUGCCUUGGGGAACAACUGAGAGGAACAACAGAGGCUUCUAACGAGGCUAAAGGUCAUACUCUUGUGCAGUCCCCAAAUCCCCAUGGCAGCCUAACAUCCAAGAAUGAUCUUCUCAGAAGACCCAUGGUCGUGGUCUUAACAAAUGUAAUGAGCAUCACUCAUAUUUCCAGAGGAACCACAACUUUUAUAGACUUAGCGAGGCCAUAUCUAACGAGGACUCAAAGAGACAUGGACAAUUUAAAGUGAAGAGGCCUCUGAACUCUAGGAAGAAGGGAAACCAUGAAAGCAGAAAAUAUGGACUGUGUGUAUGGAAAGACACUCUAGAAAGCACAGAAGGAGCCGAGAACCAGAGGGACCUAUUCUCUGGCUCUGGCUCUUAAUCAGGGAGGGACUCCUGCAGGUCCUGAUGAAGUUCUGUUCUGCUAUGGACCAGUGUGUCUUGUGUGAUGGCUAUCUUUCUCCUCUGUGUGUCAUCCCCUCAUGCUCUCCUUGAAUAUUGAGUUUCAUGUUAGGUUUCAGCAGACAGAUAACCUAUGUCUUCAGAGCCUAGGCCACAAACAAACCCCAAUAACAACUAAAACUUUUGUGUGAAACCAAAAGGGAAAUUGAAAAAAGUCUUGAAGACCAGUGAAAAAGGAAAUAAAGCAAUAACAAACACAGGGUGCGGCAAAAGAAAUCCAGGGUUUUAGGAGUCAAGAAAUGGGCUUGAGUCUCCCUAGGCUUCUGUAGAGGCAGAGCUGAAGCAAUGCUGAGAUGGGAGUGAGAGACUUGGAAGGGAUACAACUCUGCACGUUAAAAGUCACAAAUCAAUGGGUGCCUAAGAAGAAGAAAUGCAACAAAACAGAAAAGAUCAGUGAAACUUGAAGCUUUUUUUUUUUAAAGAUUAAAGCGAACAAACUUUUACCUAGAUUAGUAAGAGGGAAGAGUCAAAUAAGCAAUUGACAUCAUAAAAUGAAGAAGACGUCACAGUUAGUACUGCAGAAUCACAAAGCCUAAGAGACUGGGGUGAGCAGGAUCUUCAACAAGCCGAACAACCUAGAAGAGAUGGACAGGUUCCUCAGAACGACAGCCUAACAGGAUGGAGCCACAGACAGAGACUGACGGAUUAGUAACCAGUGUGGAGAUGGAAGUAUCUCCAGGACCUCACCCCGGCUUCCCAAUGGUUCCCUGGUUCUUGUGAUCUCAACUGACCUAUUGUAGAUGCUAUAGGAGAACUGUGAGAACUAACUGUUGAUCUGAAAGCAACCAUGAUUUGCUACAGAGGUGCGAGCUUGCACAGAGACCUGUGAAAUCCCACAGAACACAGGAAGUGUCUAAUUCCGCUGGAUCGGGCUGGUGUCAAGGCAGCUGACAGCUUCAGAGCCAAGAGCCUCCAGAAUCCUUUUUGGUAAGGAAUGUCAGCUACAAGGGGAAUCCCUACCUCACCAUCUACACAGAGUUCAAAGGAAAUGCAGAUUUAAUCAUUUGGUUUCUGUGUGACUUUCAAGUCAAAGUGAAACUAGAAUGUGAAUAUCAGAGCGUGUGAACCUUUUUGGUACGAAGCCUGGGUUCCCCUCUUACUGCUGCGGUGUGUAGAGGAUUGUGCAAUGUAAUAGCAGCAUCCAAGAUACACAGGGUCUCUGCUUCGACUCUCAAGAUGACUGCUGAUGCUCGGAGCUGAGCUGCAGAGUGCAGCAGCUCAUUGUUUGGGCCAGGAGUGUGCACGUGAAAAAUGACUCGCCGCACACUCUGCUUCCAUUCUGGUGCUCCGGGAAUGGAUUGACUUCAAAGAACUCUUUAAAAAUUAAAGUUAGGGGGACUGGAGAGAUGGCUCACUGGUUGAGAUUACUGACCGCUCUUCCAGAGGAGCCAGGUUCAAUUCCCAGCACCUAUAUGGCAGUUCAUAACUGUCUGUAACUCCAAGAUCUGACACCCUGAUGCAGACAUACAUGCAAACAAAACACCAAUGCACAUGAAAUAAAACUAAACUUAGAAUGCCACCUAGCAGUAGUGAAACUAAGUUCAAUCCCCAGAGCCAUUAAAUAAAUAUAAUGCAUGUAUAUGCAUAUAUACAUAUACAUAAUCUAUUUAUAAUUUAUAUUUCUCCAUUGGUGAACAAAAGUUAGAAUACAUGUUCAUUGUUAAAAAUAAGAAACAGAACACGGGUGAUGACCAACCUAAACAUCACCAGUGUGGUCUUACACAAAUAGGUUCCCUUUUCUUAUUUCAUUUAGAAACCCACUAAGCAAUUGGUGUAAUACUCCAUUUAGAGCAAGAACACCACAGAGUUGUCUCUGAUAUCCACAUAAAUGCUAUGACAUGCUUGCCUCCCUAUAUACACACAUCAUGUAUGUGUGUGUGUAAACACAUACACACACACACACACACACACACACACACACAGAGAGAGAGAGAGAGAGAGAGAGAGAGAGAGAGAGAGAGAGAGAGAUAUUAAAAAUAAAUCUAGUACCAGAACCUGAGUUUGAUCCCCCAAACCAUGUAAAAAAAAAAUCCAACCAUGUGAUGUAUGCUUGUAAUUCUAGCUCAGGGGAGGGAGAGCCAGGCAGACAGAUCCCUUUGUCUGAAGAAAGAAAGUGGAUGUCUCCAUGGAAGGACACCUGAAGUUAACCUCUGACCCCCACAGGCAUGCACAUGCAUAUGAACAUGUACCCACACACAUGAACAUACACAGGAAAACACUUCUCUUACGCCAUGCAUACCAUAAUUUGUAUAAAAUUCCACCAUAAAGGAGAGCUGGUUUCAGCUUCCUUUAUUAUAAACUAUACUGCAGCAACUAUAUGUGAAUACACAUUUUUUUCUGUUUAGCAUCAAUUUCGUACUAUUAAAUUUUCAAAAAAUUGAAAUUAAGACCAAAUUUCAGUGGUUUUUAAUGUUUCAUAAUUAACUUUGCUUCUUUACCAUGGCUUUAAAAAUAUUUAUAAAGGGCUGGAGAGAUGGCUUAGCUGUUAAGAGCACUUGGCUGCUCUUUCAGAAGUCCUGAGUUCAAAACACCAAUGCACAGAAAAUAAAAAUACAAAAUAAAACCCAACAAAAACCUAUAAGAUACCAAUUAUGAGGACAAACUUGGGGUCUCAAACUUUAUAAAUACUUCUUGAAACAUGCAAGACUGCCUUGGUAAGUAGGCCACUUAACCAGUGGGAAGGGACUGUGUCCGGCUGCCCUCAGCGAAAGGCAAUGGUCUGUGUUCCCAAGGUCACCAGGCCCCUUUGUCCAUUCUUCCCGUUAGCCCCAGGGUGGCCACCUUGGUGAAAUCUCCUAUUUCUGUUUUCACCAUAAUCCAUUUUUAAAUUUGUGUUUCAGGAGAGGCAGCUGAGCCCUGCUUAUUGGUGCUGCCAGAGAAAUGACACUUUUGGGGAAUGAGCCACUCAAAGGAACUUGACUGAAAAGGGAGCAGAAGGAUGGAAUGGCCCCAGGGACCUGUGGUCCUUCCUGAUCCCUUGGUGUUUUGAGGCUCUUUUGAACUCUUUGGAUUCACUUUGAACUAA
rnacentral:lncRNA from 1 species